UACGUAGGGUGCAAGCGUUAAUCGGAAUUACUGGGCGUAAAGCGUGCGCAGGCGGUUUUGUAAGUCUGACGUGAAAUCCCCCGAGCUUAACUUGGGAAUUGCGUUGGAGACUGCAAGGCUGGAGUCUGGCAGAGGGGGGUAGAAUUCCACGUGUAGCAGUGAAAUGCGUAGAGAUGUGGAGGAACACCGAUGGCGAAGGCAGCCCCCCUGGGCCAGUACUGACGCUCAUGCACGAAAGCGUGGGGAGCAAAC
rnacentral:rRNA from 1 species